AUCGUGUUCGUGAUGUAGUCAGCUAAACCCGUAUAUACUAUUUGUCUAGUGUACAGCUUUUAGGUCCGUGUGAAAACAGUAAUCCAGUGGAGGAAGAAGUGAAAAGUGACUCGGGUCUCGGCCAGCUACAGUCUGUCAGUGCUUCAACCUGCUGCCGAAAAAAGAAGAACAAGACGCGUGUAACGUGCAAAUAAGGACCUGAGCCCUAGGACCAUGCCCCAGGACUACCUGGCAUGAUGACUCCUUGCUGUCCCCAGUCCACCUGGCCAUGCUGCUGCUCCAGUUUCAACUGUUCUGCCUGCGGCUAUGGAACCCUGACCUGUUCACCGGACGUGCUACCUGUCCCAGACCUGCUGUUUUCAACUCUCUAGAGACAGCUCUUAUUUGACCAUGCUGGUCAUUUAUGAACAUUUGAACAUCUUGGCCAUGUUCUGUUAUAAUCUCUACCCGGUACAGCCAGAAGAGGACUGGCCACCCCUCAUAGCCUGGUUCCUCUCUAGGUUUCUUCCUGGGUUUUGGCCUUUCUAGGGAGUUUUUCCUAGCCACCGUGCUUCUACACCUGCAUUACUUGCUGUUUGGGGUUUUAGGCUGGGUUUCUGUACAGCACUUAUAUCAGCUGAUGUAAGAAGGGCUAUAUAAAUGCAUUUGAUUUGAUUUGAUUAGAAAAGAGAGGGACUGAGUUCAUUCACAACACACUGUAGAAAGGAGAGGGACUGAGUUCAUUCACAACACACUGUAGAAAGGAGAGGGACUGAGUUCAUUCAGACACUGUCUGCUAUCCGCCCGGUACAAUUUAAACCGGGAUUGAUCUAUGAAGAAUCACACUUCUCCAGCGUGCCAGUGGCCACCGAAGGUGAACAUUUGCCCACUGAAGUCGGUUACGACGCCGAACGGCAGUCAGGUCAAGAUCCUGGUGAGGACGACGAGCACGCAGAUGUGCUUGUUGACCAGUAAGGGUUAUUAAGAAGGUAGGGGCAGAUAUUGUUGAGCGGUUGUCAUACCGCUGAUAAUAAAAGUUGAUCAGGUGACCUGAAACACCUUGGAAAACCCUGGUCUAGAGGAGGAUGAUCUGGCCAAUCAGCGGUCUACUCUCAUGAAUAUUUUGAACGACUGGUAUACGCCCACAACAUUCCAACACAUAAAAUCUGCUUUUUAACAUACAAUAAAAGUUAAAUGGUAAUUAAGUAAUUAAUUAUAGGUAAUAUUUCAUAGAAAUCUGGAAACACUGGACAGUAGCUUCGGGGUGGCAGGUAGCCUAGCGGUUAGCGCGUUGGGCCAGUAACCAAAAGGUUGCAAGAUCAAAUCCCUGAGCUGACAAGGUAAAAAUCUGUUGUUCUGCCCCUGAACAAGUCAGUUAACCCACGGUUCCUAGGCUGUCAUUGUAAAUAAGAACUGGUUCUUAACAGACUUGCCUAGUUAAAUAAAGGUCAAAUAAAAAUACAUCUGAAUGGAAUGACAGCAAGAAUAAGACAACCCCUGAAGGUGACAAGUCAAACCUCAAUGAUGAGAUCAGAGGAUUUAACAAACUGAAGUCAACUGAGGACAUUCAGUUGUUUUCUUUCUCAAUUUCCACCCUUGUCUCCCACAGUCAUCUGCCCCCUUGUGGCCGGCUUGGGAACAGCUUGGAUCUUCUUGUCCCAUGAGUGACCUUUGAGCGCUGCUGGACUUCCAGCACAAGAACUUCACAUGUCCACUUGAUGAGGACUCAGUUAACUGGAGCCUUUACCCAUGAUAUAAACCACAGAGCCAGUCUAAAACCCAUGAUAUAAACCACAGAGCCAGUCUAAAACCCAUGAUGCAAUAGAGAACAAUAAAAUAAACACCUAUUAAACACAUCUCUGUCCA
rnacentral:lncRNA from 1 species